UUCUGCUAUUGUGUUGAGAAACGCAGAGUCCCUGGUUUCUCCCAUGUAUACAUGUUAUUAAACUUGGUAUUAUUUUCUCCUGCUAACCUGUCUUGUUAAUUAUUGGCCAGCCAUAAGAACCUUAAGGGAAGGGGCAGAGGGGGAUUCUCCCUCUUCCCCCACACUUGACAAGCGGUGUGUCGGUGCACACCAGGGAUCCAAACCCACGAACCCUGGGCCACCAAAGCUGAGCGCGUGCACUUAACCACUGCAUCACUGGCUGGCCCCACAUUUCGUUUUUUGAUGGUGUCAUUCCUGCUCCUCUACGUCCAGCUUCACUGACUCUUUCCUUUGUCGUCUUCAUUCUGCUGUUGGGCCCACCCAAGACAUUUUAAUUGAAGUUUCCCUGUUAUUUUCUCAGGAGGGAAAAUCUCCCUCCCUUUUCAGCCCAGCACAAUGGAAUUUAUGCCCAAACAUCCUCAUCAGAUUGCCAAAGCAUCCUGCAGGGACAUAAUGGAGCUAUUUAAUGCCCCAGAGGUGGAAAAAAACGGAUCCUCAGAGCAUGGCUCCCUGCUGCACCUCACGUGAAAGAUAUGCCCUACAAAAUUCCUGCAGUGACAGAGAAAAGCCAGUUGGUGCCUCACGUCCCCUGAGAAGAAUUGUCUUCAGCUGAAUUGCAUAGGGAGCUCUCUGGAAACAUCACAGCAAUGCAUAAAACAGGAAAUGUGGGUUGUUCACAUCAAAGACAUUCCAAAUGCAGGUUUGACAGUAAUGGAAGUCCUUUCUCUUUUGAUUUUUAAUUCCAAGUUUAAUUACUGCCCAGAGAGAUAUUCCUGAAGAGUUAUGCUGGGCUAUUUUACUUAUGUUGCCUUGAAUGAUCUUCACAAUCCCAGGGGAAAACACCGGAAUUAACCUUAUUUUAUAGGUGGCACUGGGAACCCCCGCACUGGACUGCCUCUGACACCAGUGAAGAAGAAGACAGCCCACCAGGCUCUUCUGUAGGACUCCAUCUGUGGAAAUAUUUUUCCCUUCAACACACUUAUUGAGAAUCUAUUACGUGCAAGCUUGUGUGACAAAGCUCAGUAAAUGUUUAUUAAACUGAACGGGACUGAAUCGCGGUUCAAGAGUGCAGAAGCUGGUUGAGCAAGGAGCCCUGUCCUCCAGGCACAAGCCCUGCCCCCAAAGAAGAGGGAAAUAUAACUGCCCAUAAGUGACUCCAAUUCAAGGCUGAAACAUGCUACAAAAAUGACAACUAAGUAUCCUAUGUGAGUCUGGUACAGUGAGAAAUCGUCUGACCUGCAGACGGCUCUAUUUAAGACUAUGGUAAACCCAAGGAUGUUCUAUUGUCCAACAAUAGGGGACAACUAGAUAAAUUGCUAUGUACUCACACAAUGUAAUUUUAAACAGCUGUUUAAAAUUAUGCGGCAGCAGAAAAACAUCUAUUGGUGAGGAAAGAUGUACAGCAUACAAAAGUGAAAAACAAAACAGAAAGUGAAAAUAUCAGGUUAUGUAGAUAAGGUUACACAUCAUCUAUUUUUGAAAAACAACAGAUACACAUAUAAAGGUGCACACGAUAUGCAUAUGCUUAUAUGAGCAUCAAAGACACAUAUGAGAUUCAUGUGUUUGUAUGCAUAUUAAAGACACAUAUUAUGUACAUAUGUGUGUGUCUAUGAAAGUCACACGUGUCAUGUAUGGGUAUGUGCAUAGGAAAGACAUAUAUGAUAAACAUGUAUGUCUACAUGCAUGUGAAUGAACCAUCUGGUGUACAUAUGUGUUUGUGUACAUACGGAAGACACAUGAUGUGUGCAUUUAUAUGUUUAUAUACAAGACAAUAUGAUAUACAUAUGUGUUUGCCUCUACAGGGGAGAGCCAUAUGAUGUAUUCACAUGUUUGUGUGCAAAUGAAAGAUGCAUAUGUAUGUGUAUAAUUGUAUGCAUAUGAAAGAUACCUCUGGUGUACAUAUAUGUUCGUGUGCAUAUGGAAGACAUGAUGUGUGGAUAUGUUUAUAUAUAAGACCCAAACUGUGUGUACAGUCGUCUCUCAGUAUCUGAGGGUUUCACAUCCUCAGAUUCAACCAACUGCAGAUCAAAAUUUCACAGAUACAGGGGAAUUGAAUUGAAUCUAUGGAUGCAAAACCCUGGGAUCUAGAGGGCCAACUGUACUCAUUGUACUACAGCAUUUUACAUAACGGACUGGAGCAUCUGCAGAUUUUGGGAUCUGCAGGGGUCCUGGAACCAAUCUCCCUCGGAUACCAAGGGACGACUGUGUAUGUUUGCACACACAUGGGAGACACUCAUAUGUUUGUAUGCAUGUGAAAGACACAACCAAUAGGUUGGCAGUGGUCAUAUUUAGAUGAUUGGAAUUAUAGCUGUUUGAUAUGGUUCAUUUGCUCAUCUAUUUUUUCUGAUGUUUCUGUAAUGUGCAUGUAAUUUUUUUGUAAUGAGUGGUAACAAUAUACAACACUCCAUUUCAGAAGCACUCCACAUUUUACAGGUUCAAUAUCUUCCACAACUAGGGAAUGCGUUUGGUUUUAAGAGAGAACUAGGCACACACACUUAAUAGAAUAAAAGUAGCCUUCUGAAAAAUAGUUCACUUCAUUGUGAAUAAACAAAAGCAUUUAUUCAGGGGAUAGUGGAUUUAAGAGUUAAGGAGAACUUUAAAUAUGACUUUAGAAAGAGAGUUUUUGGCUACCGGAACACCCUCCUCACCUUCCCCAAUACCUUUUCUGAGGGCCUGAUAUAACAACAAAUUUCCAAUCCUUGCGGGGGGCACACUUGUAGAGGAAAUAUUAUUGUCCAGUUGAUAUCAAGUUUUUGUUUCAAUUCAACUGCUCAGCAUUUCACACGUCUGUCUAAUUUCAGCUUUUGUUUUUGUUAGUAUUUUAUUGUCUUUCAAAAAAAGACAUAUGAUAAAUAUAUAAUAAAAUUUGGAUUAUUGCCAAAUAGUACCCAUGUGCAUCUUAAAUUCAGUUGAGGUGAAUCUUAAAACAAUAAGCUGGCUGAUAUAAAUGUUCAAAAGUAUCCACCUUUUAUCAUUUUUAACAGAAUUUAGUGCCACUUGGUACAUGCAGAGGUUAUAAAAAUGACUAAUUUCUAAAAAUAGAAAUACCUUAUGAUCUAGCUAUCCCACUUCUGGGUAUUUAUCCAAAGAACUUGAAAUCAACAAUCCAAAGAGGCUUAUGCACCCCUAUGUUCGUAGCAGCAUUAUUCACUAUAGCCAAGACGUGGAAGCAACCCAAGUGUCCAUCAACAGAUGAUUGGAUAAAGAAAAUGUGGUGUAUAUAUAUACAAUGGAAUAAUACUCAGCCAUAAAAGAAGAUAAAAUUGUCCCGUUUGCAACAACAUGGAUGGACCUGGAGGGUAUUAUGUUAAGUGAAAUAAGCCAGACAGAGAAAGACAAACACUGUAUGACCUCUCUCAUAUGUGGAAGAUAAACUAACACACGGACAGAGAGAACAGUUUGGUGGUUACUGGGGGAAGG